UACGAAGGGGGCUAGCGUUGCUCGGAUUCACUGGGCGUAAAGGGUGCGUAGGUGGUGAGGUAAGUCGGAUGUGAAAGCUCGGAGCUCAACUCCGAAAUGGCAUUGGAAACUACCUUGCUCGAGGGUUGGAGGGGGGACUGGAAUGCUUGGUGUAGCAGUGAAAUGCGUAGAUAUCAAGCGGAACACCAGUGGCGAAGGCGAGUCCCUGGACAACUCCUGACACUGAGGCACGAAAGCUAGGGGAGCAAACAGG
rnacentral:rRNA from 1 species